rnacentral:rRNA from 1 species
UACGGGGGGGCAAGCGGUUGUUCGGAAUUACUGGGCGUAAAGGGCUCGUAGGUGGCCAACUAAGUCAGACGUGAAAUCCCUCAGCUUAACUGGGGAACUGCGUCUGAUACUGGAUGGCUUGAGUUUGGGAGAGGGAUGCGGAAUUCCAGGUGUAGCGGUGAAAUGCGUAGAUAUCUGGAGGAACACCGGUGGCGAAGGCGGCAUCCUGGACCAACACUGACACUGAGGAGCGAAAGCCAGGGGAGCAAACGGG